CCCUGUUGCUCACCCCUCCUUCUUUCCCCCUUUCAGGAGAGACCGACGAGCAGGAGUGAUUAUCGGACCGGUGCUAUUGGGCUUUUGGGCUUCUAUCGCUUUUAUCGUUAUCGGGCUUUUAGGCCUUUGGACUUUUAUCGCUUUUGUUAUUUCCUAUUUCAGACUUUUGGUUUAUGUCGUAUUUUAUAUUUCAGAUGUUAUCGAUGUUGGGUCUUUAGGCCUUAUGGUAUCGUAUUGACUUUUAUAUUUAUAAAUGGAGAUUUCAUAAACUAUUAUUUAUCGAAUUAUAUUUUUAUUAUUUCGAAAGUGACGGGUGUCACAAGUUUUGGUAUCAGAGCUAUUUAAUUAUCGUAAUAUUUUAUUAUGUAAAUCGGGGUGUUACAAUUUUGGUAUCAGAGCUAUUUAUUUAUCGUAAUAUUUUGUUAUGUAAAUCGGGGUGUCACAAUUUUGGUAUCAGAGCUAUUUAUUUAUCGUAAUAUUUUAUUAUGUAAAUCGGGGUUUCACAAUUUUGGUAUCAGAGCUAUUUAUUUAUCGUAAUAUUUUAUUAUGUAAAUCGGGGUGUCACAAUUUUGGUAUCAGAGCGGGGUUUCAUCCCGGCUCCGACCCGGGAUGGCGAUUUUGGAGACCUGGUUUUAUUCGGUUUUACUCGGUUUUGACGGUUUUAGACGAUUUCAAAAACAUUUCGGAGAUUUGGAAAUUUUAAAAAUGAAAAUAAAUAGCACCUUUUCGUUCGGUAUCACUCCAUCUUAAAUGUUGGUAUCCAGAGUUCGGAGGAAGUUAACUUUUUCGCUUCCCUUUCAGAUGCCGCCCAGGAAGAGAGUUGUUCGUACACAGACCGCCAGAGUUGCUAGAGAGGCUGAGGAUGAGCAUGUUCAUCUCGCAGUUCCGCAGCAGGCGACUCCACCGAUUGAUCAGGAGGCCAUGAGACAGAUGGUUCAGGAUGCCGCUAGGCAGGCCGCUCAGGAGGUAGUUCAGCAGAUUGCCCAGGAGGCAGCCAGGCAGUCUGCUCAGGAGGCUGCCCGAGUAGCUGCUCAGGAGGUUUCUCGUCAGAUGGCUGCAGUUCAGCAGGCUCCUCAGGUUCAGGUGCAGCAGGGUCCGCAGAUUCGGGUUCAGCAAGCUCCACCGGCUCAGGUCCAACAGGAUCAGCAGAUUCCCGCUCAGCAUGAUUAUCAGGAUCCCGUUCAGCAGGUUCCCCUUCCACAGGUUCCACUGCAGCAGGGUCCAGCUCAGCAGUUUGCUCAUGGUGUUCAGGAUCUACCACCACCACCACGGCGACCUCAUGUUUACCCAGUUUAUAAUGAGAGGUUCUACAGGCUGACAUGUCAGAUGAGGAACAUGGAUAUAGAGCAUUUUAGUGGGACAGUGGAUGCUGUAGCUGCACAUGAUUGGAAGUUAGCCUUGCAGCGGAAGCUGGAGAUUAUUGAGUGUCCACCAGAGUUGUCGCUCAGAUUGACUAUGCAGUACCUUCGUGGAGAUGCUCUUAUAUGGUGGGAGGGAAUACAAUUGAGUCACUUUGGGCCAGAGAGGCUUACCUUCGCAGACUUCAUCCGAGAGUUCGAUACGAAAUACUUUUCGAAGGAAGCUAUGGAUAUGAAGAAAUGCGAGUUUUAGCAUGUAAGCCAGGUGAGAUGUCUAUCAGGGAGUAUGAGGUUGUCUUUAACCAACUUUGCAGGUUUGCUGGAGAGGGCAUUUUAGAGGAAGACCUGAUGAGGAAAAUUUUGAAUGGGAUGCGAGUAGAGAUUCGCAACAGGUGUCGUGUCGUCACUUAUCACAGAUUGGGAGACUUGGUGGAGAAGGCUGCCGAGCAGUAGGCAGGUUUGGCAGAGGAGAAGAAGUACUCCAAGGCAGUUCAGCCUAAGGUUGGAGGUACUUCAGAGGCACAGCAGAGGACAUGGGACAAACCGAGCAUACAGUGCUUUUAUUGUGGAAAGAUGGGACAUAAGAGUAGGGUUUGUCGGAGUAGGCUAUUUGAUGCCCAGGUUGCGCCACGAGCAGCGGCAGCAUCACCAGUAGUGGAUGUUAGAAACUGUUUUGGUUGUAACCAACCUGUUCACAUUUUCAACUGUCCGAGGAGGGGUAAUGCAGUGCUUCCACCACCACUGAAGCGUCUAGCCAUCGCUCCACGUGCGUUUGCGGUUGGAGAUCCCCAUGGAGCUGAGCCGAUAGCGGGUAUGUAUUCUUAUCAUACUUGCUUGUGUUGAGUAUUUGUGGUUUUGUGGUUAUCUUGUAUAGUUCGAGAUUAGUGAAUCUCGUGUAUGAUUGGUUGUGGUUGGUGUGAGUUACCUCACACCUUAUUUGACUCAAGAGCUUUUCAUAGUUUUGUGAGUCCGCGUUUGGUUAAGUUUUAGUUUUUUUUUUUUUUGAGGAUCUUCUAACCGAACGAUAAGCAGAUUAAGAUCGUUGUUAUGGAGAGCUUGUUGUUAUGGAGAGUUUGAGAGCGAUCAAGAUUCAUCGCAAUGUACCUGUUAUCAUUUGAGUAUAAUGAUGACACCGUCGAAGUUUUUUUAUGAUGGGUCUAGUCGUACACCACUUUGUUGGACCAAAGUGGGGGAGAGACGUGAGAUAGAACCAACAUUGAUUCAAGAGAUGAUAGAGCAAAUGGAAAUGCUCGAAGCUUGCGUUAGAAAGCCCAUGACCGUCAGAAGAGUUACGUGGAUAACCGCCGUAAGAUUUGGAUUUUGAAGUUGGCAACCUAAUAAAUCUGAAGGAGGAUGUUUCAAGAAGAAUUAAAGACUCGGAAUCUAAAGAAACUUAAACCGAGAUAUAUGGAAUCAUAUCUCAUUAUUGGCCAGCAAGUGAAAUCAGUCUAGGGAGUGGUGACCAUGUUGCUAGUGACCAUAUUGGUCAAGGAUCGUCGGGAGAAAUAAGAUUUAAGAGGAGACCUGGGAAUCCGUGCUCCAGAUGACGAUUGACUAUUGGAGACUUUUCGGUUGGUUUUAGGCAGUUAAGUUGUCACUUGAAUUCGGGGACGAAUUCCUUGUAAGUAGGGGAGAGUUGUAACGACCCUAAGUUUGGUUUGUGAAUUUGUUAGCCGGCUAAGUCAUUUACAUUUAUCUGAGGACAAUUAUUAACCUAUAAAUAUCCACCUCUACAUUGGUUUCUCCUCCUGCACCAAAAAAAUAAUAAAAUGAGAAUUUAGAGAGAAGAAGAAGUGAAAAAUAAAGAGAGUGAGAGAAAGAAAGAUAGGAACCACUGCAUGCUGCCACCAGGAGUCCUCGCCGGAGCCACCACACGCCAGGACAUCGUCAAGCUCGUCAUCACCAUCAACCACAGCUGAGAAUCGCCGGAACCGCCGCCUCUUAAGCUUUGUUUUCGUCCGUUCAGUAAAUCGGCCAUAUCUUCCUAACCGUCGCGAAUCUCGCGCAUGCAUACCCAGCAUCGUGUUUCUCUCGUCGAGACAAAGCCGUAGCCACCGACCACGCCGCAAUCGGAGUCUGGACGAAGCCCCUAGAGCCUCUGAAAGUUUCGCCUCUGCGCGCGCGUGAGUUACACGCGCCGCCGCCGGAAAUCGUCUCCGCCGCUUUCGCCGCCGUCGCCUGCCGCUGGACCACCGCCUCGCCACCACCGGGACGCCGUCGCUGCCGCCGUGCUCCGCCUUCUGUUGUCACCGUCGUCCACCGUCACCGCCGGUAAGCCAUCGCAGUCGCCGUCGGUGACCGUCGCCGGUGACUCGCUGAUGACUCGCCAACCCGGCCGAGUCGACCUGAUGAGUCAACUCGGUGACUCGGUCAACCGAUUGGUUUGACCGGUUUAAAUUGAUUUUGGUUCGGUUAGGGUAAACCGGUCGGUUAGGACAAAUUGAUUUCUGGUCAACGGUUGACCGGAUUGACCUUUGACCAACGAGUUGACUUUUCCAUAAACCUUGACCAGACCCGUUUUAAACCGUUGAAAAGGCGUUCUGACUCGAUUUCUCGCCCUGAUUUCAGAUUUGGAGUCUAUUUGAGCAUCUGGAGUUCAUAGAUACCACUUCUUCUUGUUGAUAAGGUGAGGGCUAUUCCGUUAAAUCCCGAGCUAGUUUAGUACUACCAUUAUGGAAAGUUUAGUUUCGAAACAUGAUCCGUCUCUGUGAAUCGAGUCUGUUUGAGAGUCUUGCUUGUUCAUUAUUGAUAUUGAUUGUUAACCGGAAUUAGGAUAAAAGAGGAUUCAACGAUUGUGUGAAAUGAUUGAUGCUAAGAACUGCUAUAUAUAUGUAUAUACAUAGUUAUGAGUAGGGAUUAUGUGAUAAGGGCGUGAGUUCAGAGAUGUCUGAGCUUCGACGCUACAGUGUGGUAUGGGCGUGAGUUCAGAGACGUUUGAGCUUCGACGCUACUGUGUGGGGCGUGGUGCGGAGACGUUUGCAUUCGACGCUACGAUGGGCGGGGGUACAGAGACAGACUGUACUAGCGACGCUUCGAGUAUAUGUAUAUAUCCUUAUGAGGAGAUGCACGGUGCAGAGUGUAGCUAUGUACUAUAAUCGCAUGAGUUGUAACGGCUAGUCCUCUAGCCGAAUAUUGAUUGUUCUGUGUGGUGUAAUAGGCACCGUGUUUGUUUCAUGCUAGAGCUAGGCCUACAUUUUAGUAGUGCUAUGAACUCAGUCUGUGGUUUGCGGUUUAGCAUCCCAUACCUCGCUGGGCAAUUCCCCUAUUGCUCACCCCUCCUUCUUUCCCCCUUUCAGGAGAGACCAACGAGCAGGAGUGAUUAUCGGACCGUUGCUAUUGGGCUUUUGGGCUUCUAUCGCUUUUAUCGUUAUCAGGCUUUUAGACCUUUGGACUUUUAUCGCUUUUGUUAUUUCCUAUUUCAGACUUUUGGUUUAUGUCGUAUUUUAUAUUUCAGACGUUAUCGAUGUUGGGCCUUUAGGCCUUAUGGUAUCGUAUUGACUUUUAUAUUUAUAAAUGGAGAUUUCAUAGACUAUUAUUUAUCGAAUUAUAUUUU
rnacentral:lncRNA from 1 species